GACGAACGCUGGCGGCGUGCCUAAUACAUGCAAGUCGAACGCACGAAGUUGAAGAGCUUGCUCUUUAACCAUGUGAGUGGCGGACGGGUGAGUAACACGUGGGUAACCUGCCCAUUAGAGGGGGAUAACAUUCGGAAACGGAUGCUAAUACCGCAUAGUUUCAGGGAUCGCAUGAUUCUUGAAGGAAAGGUGGCUUCGGCUACCACUAAUGGAUGGACCCGCGGCGUAUUAGCUAGUUGGUGAGGUAAUGGCUCACCAAGGCAAUGAUACGUAGCCGACCUGAGAGGGUGAUCGGCCACACUGGGACUGAGACACGGCCCAGACUCCUACGGGAGGCAGCAGUAGGGAAUCUUCCGCAAUGGACGAAAGUCUGACGGAGCAACGCCGCGUGAGUGAAGAAGGUUUUCGGAUCGUAAAACUCUGUUGUUAAAGAAGAACAAGGAUGAGAGUAACUGCUCAUCCCCUGACGGUAUUUAACCAGAAAGCCACGGCUAACUACGUGCCAGCAGCCGCGGUAAUACGUAGGUGGCAAGCGUUGUCCGGAUUUAUUGGGCGUAAAGCGAGCGCAGGCGGUUCUUUAAGUCUGAUGUGAAAGCCCCCGGCUCAACCGGGGAGGGUCAUUGGAAACUGGAGAACUUGAGUGCAGAAGAGGAGAGUGGAAUUCCACGUGUAGCGGUGAAAUGCGUAGAUAUGUGGAGGAACACCAGUGGCGAAGGCGACUCUCUGGUCUGUAACUGACGCUGAGGCUCGAAAGCGUGGGGAGCAAACAGG
rnacentral:rRNA from 1 species